UAUAACAUUUUUAUUUUUAUUAUGUGGCUCUGUUAACACAAAUAUUUGUAUAGAUAUACAAUACACUAUAAUUUUACUACUGUUUCAGCCUUUUGGCUAUCGUCAGGUAUUACCACAAAUUACAUGCAUCUUCAACUCAUCUGCUGUUCUUCUCUGCAUUGGCCAACGUUUUUAUUGGGAACAUUUUUCUAUGAGUUGUUGUGUUUAGCAUAUAAACGUUACUUUAGAGAUCACAAUACAAAACAGUAACAUUUUCUCAUUAUGAAACACACUUAAGACCCAUCAAAUUAAUGCAACUGUUGAAGGUUCCUCAUUACAUACCAGGUUCUGCUUAACUGAUGUUUACUGAAACUGUCAUUAUGCUCUGACACCCUUAAUUGUUCGUUUCUUGAUUUAAAUUAGCAAAUUUCCUUAAAUGAUAGAAGUAAACAAGUAAAACACUGACCCCCAUAAUGUAAUGCUAUAACUGUUUACAGUCCAUUUACAAUUAGAAUUAUUCAGAUGUUUAUACUCAUAAGAUUUAAACACUGUGUAGUUUGAACUGCAAAUUAACCACGGUCUGAAUUAUCUUCUUGGUUGGGGACUGACAAUUCCUUCUGAUUAUGCUGAAUAUUAAAUUUGUCAAUAUUGAAUUAGGGUUUUAUUGUAAUAUAUAAAGGACUCUGCUAGUAAUAUCUAUUUGUGAAGGACCAAAUUUAUCCUCUUUUCCUUUUCUUUUCAAUAUUAGUAUUUUGACACAAUACAGCAGAACCUGAAUUUUCAUUUCAGUGAAAAGCAGAGUAUGAUGCAUUAACAGACAUUUCACUGUAAUAAAUAUUUCACCAAACUGUUUAAUUUAAUAUAUUCUAACACGCAGAUUGUAAUUAUUUAUCUUUGGUACCAUCUUUUCAGGGAUGGGCAUUUUACAAAUCAUAUUACAUUUGUAAUCAUUAUAUCAGUCCCAUAUUCAUAAUGUUUACAGCUUAAAGUUGAAGUCAGGUGUUAGACUGCAACAACUAACUUCACAAUUUGUGAAGUCUAAAUGAAUUUAUUCUUGGUCUUCUUCAAGUACUGGCACAUUUUAUGCCCCAUCAUUAUUGCAAAGCACCAUAAUCCAUUUCCUCUCCUAUAAAAACAAAUCCCUGCAAAGUGACUGACACUAGUUCAGUAGUGUCAUAGCACAGACAGAGUAAGUGGUGGUGUUGCACAAUUCAAUAUAGUAAUUGCCAAUUGAUUUUAGAUUACCUUAUGAUGCCAUUUCAAUUGCACAGGUUACACAGCAUCAAAUGAGAUCGAAAGAUUAUCAAGAAUAAUAAAUAGGCAUGGAUCUUGAACGAGGCAUAAGUUGCUUAUUUGAAGGUACAGCCCAAGAAUUCACCUUGAGAGAUUGAGGAAACCCAUAACUACAUGCCAAGAUAACUGAUGGCACAGCCAAGAUUCAAACCAGGGACCUCUUGUAUAUAAAUCUGUUGUCACUACCACUGCAGCCACCGCCGCCACCACCAGGCCAACAACAAUGGUGGCAGUAGUGAUGGUAAUGACAACAAAGACGACAACAAUGAUGAUGGUGGCAGCAGCGGUGGCAACGAUGGCAACAACAACAACAACAACAACAACAACAACCUUCUCAGUAUAUAAGUAAUUAGUCAUGCUGUGGAGAUAGACUGCUAGUGGAAUCAACAAGACUACAGCCUAACAAAUAAACCUCAUCCAAAUUACAGCAGAUGCUGGAAUUAUUCAGGUAAAUGUUCAAGCCCAGCAUCAAUUUGACUCGGAGAGGGGGGAACUAGAGGAAACCUAAACUGAACUGCCAAGUGCUCACUAUUCAGGAAUUAACAACAAAAGGGCACUAGAUUUUAGAGUCUCUGAGCACAAAAGUCAAGUCACUCUUUGUUGCUCUUUAGUGUAGUCUAUCAGUGGAGCAACCACGUUAAAUGUGUCACAGCAUCAUUAUGUUGUAAGGGAA